UCUGGUUGAUCCUGCCAGUAGUGAUAUGCUUGUUUCAAAGAUUAAGCCAUGCAUGUCUAAGUAUAAGCGAACUUAUACAGUGAAACUGCGGAUGGCUCAUUAAAACAGUUUGAAUUUAUUUGAUGAAUGUAUGAGAAUACUACUUGGAUAACCGUAGUAAUUCUAGAGCUAUACAUGCAACGACGCCCGACCGUUUCACUACGGAAGGGCUGUAUUUAUUGGAUACCAAAACCAUCCUUCCCUCGGGAAGUCUUGUUUGAUGAUUCACAAUAACUGAUCGGAUCUCCACUGUGGUGGCGACAGGUCAUUCAACAUUCUGCCCUAUCAGCUUUCGAUGGUUGUGUAGUGGACAACCAUGGCCAUAACGGGUAACGGAGAAUCAGGGUUCGAUUCCGGAGAAGGAACUUGAGAAUUGGCUACUACAUCUAAGGAAGGCAGCAGGCGCGCAAAUUACCCAAUCCCGAUUCGGGGAGGUAGUGACAAAAAAUAACAAUACCGGGCCUUUUUGGGCUUGGUAAUUGGAAUGAGGGAGAGUUAAACGGACCAUCGAGUAUCCAUUGGAGGGCAAGUCUGGUGCCAGCAGCUGCGGUAAUACCAGCUCCAAUAGCGUAUAUUAAAGUUGUUGCAGUUAAAAAGCUCGUAGUUGGACUUGUGUGCGCUGUCCGCGGGUGGCCUGCGCCCAAAAGGGCGUUUCGGUUCGGCCCCGGUGGCGCCUUGAAAUCUGCAGCUGGGGGGACGUUGGCCUUAACUGGUCGGCGACCGCACGCCGGCUGCUCGGUUACUGUGAGAAAAUUAGAGUGUUCAAGGCAGGCAUUGGGUGCAAUUGAAUACAUUAGCAUGGAAUAAUAAAAUAUGGCUCCUGCCGUAUUUUGUUGGUUUUGACUGGUGGGAGUAAUGAUUGAUAGGGACGGUUGGGGGUGCUAGUAUUGAGCGGCCGGAGGUGAAAUUCAUGGAUUCGCUCAAGACUAACUUAUGCGAAAGCAUUCACCAAGGACGUCCUCUUUAAUCAAGAACGAAAGUUGGGGGAUCGAAGACGAUCAGAUACCGUCGUAGUCUCAACCAUAAACUAUGACGACUUGGGAUCGGCGGUAGUUUUUUCAUUAAGACACUGUCGGGACCACGGGAGAAAUCAAAGUGUCUGGACUCUGGGGGAAGUAUGGUCGCAAGGCUGAAACUUGAAGGAAUUGACGGAAGGGCACCACCAGGAGUGGAGCCU
rnacentral:rRNA from 1 species